rnacentral:rRNA from 1 species
AUUGAACGCUGGCGGCAUGCCUUACACAUGCAAGUCGAACGGCAGCACGGGAGCAAUCCUGGUGGCGAGUGGCGAACGGGUGAGUAAAGUAUCGGAACGUGCCCAGUCGUGGGGGAUAACGUAGCGAAAGCUACGCUAAUACCGCAUACGAUCUAUGGAUGAAAGCGGGGGAUCGCAAGACCUCGCGCGAUUGGAGCGGCCGAUAUCAGAUUAGGUAGUUGGUGGGGUAAAGGCCCACCAAGCCGACGAUCUGUAGCUGGUCUGAGAGGACGCACAGCCACACUGGGGCUGAGACACGGCCCAGACUCCUACGGGAGGCAGCAGUGGGGAAUUUUGGACAAUGGGCGCAAGCCUGAUCCAGCAAUGCCGCGUGCAGGAUGAAGGCCUUCGGGUUGUAAACUGCUUUUGUACGGAGCGAAAAGGCUUCCACUAAUACUGGGGGCUCAUGACGGUACCGUAAGAAUAAGCACCGGCUAACUACGUGCCAGCAGCCGCCGUAACAC